rnacentral:misc_RNA from 1 species
GCAAACUUGGUCAUUUAGAGGAAGUAAAAGUCGUAACAAGGUUUCCGUAGGUGAACCUGCGGAAGGAUCAUCAUCGAAUUCAUAUCCCCCCCCUCAACCGGAGGGGGACCCAUGAUAAACCCUUCUGUGCACCGUAAACCGUUCACUUUGGCAGGCUUUGGUGGUGAGCGUGAGCUCGCCUCCAACUUCGCGUUCCCUCCAUAAGGGGUGCUACGCGUGGCGGCCUGCCGGAGUCCCAUUAAAAAACUCGUUUUUUCGAACACGUCUGAAAAUUUCCUUUGAGAAAUCAAAGAACCGAAAACAACUUUCAACAACGGAUCUCUUGGCUCUCGCAUCGAUGAAGAACGCAGC